UCCCAAUCCCAUUCCUGCCCCACUCCAUGCCCUGCCCUCACCUCCAGCUGGUUUUCCCUCUCAGUUCCUCUCCUUUCGCGUUCCCGUGAUCCCGCUGGUCCCGAACAAUCCCAGCACUGAUCCGGAGCUCCGGGCUGUGCCAGCUGGCGGCAGCUCCCCCUUCCCAUCCCAUUCCAGGGCUCUUAAAGCCGCCCGGCCCCGAUCCCGGGGUUUGGGAUGUCCUGACGGAUCCCUGCGCUCUUAAAUCCGAGGGGACAGGGGAUGGGAGCGGAGCAUUCCCCAUUCCCGGUGCCAUUCUCCAGGAACAAUGGGCUCCUUUGCCCGUGGAAUUCCUGCUCUGGCCAGGAGGGAUCUGCCUGGCACUGGCCUUUAAAUGCAGGCGAUGGUCCCAGCGAUAUUCCCAGGAAGAGUGAGGGGAUGUGCCAGAGGUUUUUCCUGCCUUCCACACCAACCCAUGUGGGAAAGGAGCUUGGAGUGGAUUACACGGGAGUUUUCUUUGGGAAGAGAUCAUUUAAAGGAGCUUUAAAACCCACCGCGCUUUUGGACGGAAGUGGAAUUACCGGCAGCAUUCCCGAGGCAGGGAAUCGCUGCCCUCCUGCCAUUCCAACCUGCCUCCCACCUUUCCGUGCCCAGAUUUCCUCCCUGGCUGCUCUGGAGAAGGAUUUCCCAUCCUUCAGCAGGGUCACGCCGAGGGUAACGGCGUUCCAGCCUUUCCAGGAUGGAUGGGGCUGUUGGAGCAGAGCUUCCCCGCUGUUUAUCCUCUGGAUUCCUCUCCUCUGGAUUCAUCCCCUCUGCUCCCAGGCCAGGAGACAGCACGGAUAGAUUUUCUAAGAUCCUUUCUUUUCCAUAAAAAAUAUUGGAUGGCGGCAUUGACAGAGCUCCGGGUGUUAAAAGGACAAGGAAAUAUUUCCAAAUGGUUUCUCUGGCAGCUGGGAAUUUCAGCUCCUGUCGCUUAUUGACCUCUAAUUGUUUCCAGUAGGAGCGGGAGACAGGAAGAUCAAUAGGAAUUGGAGAGACUUAAAACCCUCCCGGUGCACUUCACUGUAGUUAGGAACCACUGGAAUUCAUCUUCCCGGGAUUUCCAGUGGUAAUUGGAACAUUGGGAUUGCUCCAUGUGCUGGAUUCCAUGCAGAGCGUUAAUUCCUUCCCCAGUCCCGCUCCUUGCCUGGUCCCAGGGCUCGGAGCAGCCUCGUGGUGCUCCAGCUGCCCUUCCCUGCUGUGUUAGAAAUCCAGGAGACCCAAAUUUGGGCGGAAUUCCAAAGGAGCAGGAGGAUUCUGGCAGGUGGAACUCCACAGGAAAGAAAGGAUGGAACAGUGGAGUGAUGAGAGUGCUGACACACCAGGAUA